rnacentral:rRNA from 1 species
UACAGAGGUCUCAAGCGUUGUUCGGAUUCAUUGGGCGUAAAGGGUGCGUAGGCGGCGCGGUAAGUCGGGUGUGAAAUCUCGGGGCUUAACUCCGAAACUGCAUUCGAUACUGCCGUGCUUGAGGACUGGAGAGGAGACUGGAAUUUACGGUGUAGCGGUGAAAUGCGUAGAUAUCGUAAGGAAGACCAGUGGCGAAGGCGGGUCUCUGGGACGGUACUGACGCUGAGACGCGAAAGCGUGGGGAGCGAACAGG